rnacentral:tRNA from 1 species
UCCCUGGUGGCUCAGUGGGUAAAGAAUCUGCCUGCAAUGCAGGACAUCUGGGUUUGAUUCCUGGGUUGGGAA